UGAAGACUUUACCAUAUAUCUGGGGCAGCUGGGAGAGGUUCGUGUGGCAAGGACUAAGUUGUCAUGCCUGCUUGGUACCCUGAUAGGGUGGAUUGGGUUUUAAGGGUGGUUUGGUUUCUUCUUUUAGUGUGGAUUAAGGAAUCCAGACAUUAUCAAGUUAAAAUCAUCCCACUUCCUCGUCUAGAGUUUCAUGGCACAUCGUGACCUGUUUGAACCGUGUGUCUGUUUCAGUGCUCCACACUGUGACGGUCCGCUGAGAGGUAGCCUGAGAAACUGCUGCUAUACAUAUCUGUUUGUCUGAGGAGUCUGAAGACCUGGAUGCCACCCAACAUCUAGCGAAACAUCUUAUUUUAUGAGGUGUCUGGGAGACCAGUUCUAAUGUGAGGUACAAGUUCCUCUUUGCUUGGUGGUGGUUUCCUUCGGUGUGCAGUGGUCGACAGGUGGGGUUGUGGUGUCGUAUGAGUGCAUGUGUGUUUGCUGUGGAUAGGAAAUCAUUAGAGUAAGGUCCCGAGCCAUGGAGUCCAAGCAUUCUUGUGUGGUAUAUGAUGUAUGGUUUGAUGUAAUUUUAAUAGUUCUUAAUAAACUGUGUGUAUUAUA